GACAGACGGAUCUAGCCUCCCAGCCUACAUCUUUCUCCUGUGCUGGAUGCUUCCUACCCUUGAACAUCAGACUCCAAGUUCUUCAGUUUUGGGACUCGGACUGGCUCUCCUUGCUCUUCAGCUUGCAGACAGCCUAUUGUGGGACCUUGUGAUUGUAUGAAGAAAUAAGAAUGGAAGCAUAAUCAUUUGUCCGAGGUCACAGAGGGAGAUGAUUACACAGCUGGAAUAAACUCUCCUCCUUCAAUACCUGACUACUUGCACCAUCCAGCAGAUAUCCUCUACUACCAAGUCUCAACAGAUGGUUCAGCUGGUCUUUAAUGAACAAAAGGCAUUUGUGUAAUGGACUCUUAUUGCUCAAGAAGAAUUUCUUCCUUCCUGAAACAUGAGGAGAAACUGACAAAAACUGUCUCCUUGACCAAACCCUAGUCAGUUGCCUAUAAGCCCUGUAGGCUGUGACCUUAGUGUCUAUCCUUAUCAGACACGCAUUACACAACCAUAGCAACAGUCUUGCUAAGUUGGUUUAACCAGAACCCCUACCCUUGAUAUCUGAUUUAAUUUAUAAUUCCCCUGAGUCCCCGAGGUGACAUCCAUUCAUCCUGGCCAGCUUUCAAUAAGAAUCCUAUUGGAUUAUUUAGCUAGAAAUCACCCCUUACACUUAAUGCUUCCUUUUAGUAAUUUUGCAUCCACUAACCCCGACCUUGCUCGUUGGCUAUAAAUCCACAAGUUGUCCGUGUUGUGUUUGGAAUUGAUUACAAUUCUAUAUUGAGGUCUCUUUUCCCAUAUUGCAAUAGUUCCUGAUUAAAAUCUGCUUUUGCCCAUUGAUAUGGUUUGGUUGUGUACCCACUCAAAUCUCAUCUUGAAUUGUAGCUCCCAUGAUUCCCAUAAUUGAAUCAUGGCAGCAGUUUACCCCAUACUGUUCUUGUGGUAGUGAAUAAGUCUCAUGAGAUCUGAUGGUUUUAUAAGGGGUUUCCACUUUCACUUGAUUCUGACUCUCUUUUGUUUGCCGCUAUGUAAGACAUGCCUUUCACCUUCUGCCAUAAUUGUGAAGCCUCCCCAGCCACAUGGAACUGUGAGUCCGUUAAACCUCAUUUUCUUUAUAUAUAAAUUACCCAGUCUCAGGUAUGUCUUUAUCAGCAGCAUGAAAAUGGACUAAUACACUCCUUUAACUGUGUAGCUCUGGUGUUCUUUGAUGAGCUAGAAACUGUAAAUCUCUGGAAGUCAAAUCUUCAUUUGAACUGGUUGUUAUAUAUUAUUGAUUCUCUCAAUUAUUUAGUUAAAUAAAAGUCUUGACAUGUUAAA
rnacentral:lncRNA from 1 species